GACGAACGCUGGCGGCGUGCUUAACACAUGCAAGUCGAACGGAAAGGCCUCAGCUUGCUGGGGUACUCGAGUGGCGAACGGGUGAGUAACACGUGGGUGAUCUGCCUUGCACUCUGGGAUAAGCUUGGGAAACUGGGUCUAAUACCGGAUAUGAACUGCCUUUAGUGUGGUGGUUGGAAAGUUUUUUCGGUGCAAGAUGAGCUCGCGGCCUAUCAGCUUGUUGGUGGGGUAAUGGCCUACCAAGGCGUCGACGGGUAGCCGGCCUGAGAGGGUGUACGGCCACAUUGGGACUGAGAUACGGCCCAGACUCCUACGGGAGGCAGCGGUGGGGAAUAUUGCACAAUGGGCGGAAGCCUGAUGCAGCGACGCCGCGUGGGGGAUGACGGCCUUCGGGUUGUAAACUCCUUUCGACAGGGACGAAGCUUUUUGUGACGGUACCUGUAUAAGAAGCACCGGCUAACUACGUG
rnacentral:rRNA from 1 species